CCCCGACUCCGACGCCGCCUCCGCUUCCGCCUCCGCCCCCGACGCCCUCUCACGACUCCGACGACGCCGCCUCCGCCUCCGCCUCCGCCCCUCAAGGUCGUGUUGCGGGUCCGCCGGUUGCCUCCGUCGUCCCCGACUCCGACGCCCCUCAAGGCGGUUGCCUUGGACGCCGACGACGCCGCCUCCGCCGCCGCCUCCGCCUCCGCCCCCGCCUUCGCCCCUGACGCCGACGUCAACGCCGAGGCCCUCCGCUUCCGCUUCGGCGAGGGACAUCGACGACCUACCGAAGAACGCGGCCAACUAUCCUGUCGGUCCUUUCGGCACGAAGUAAACAGAAAAUGCAACUCAGUGCUGGGAGUUUAUAAAGUUGUAGAGGCAUGUCGCUUGGUGGCUGAUUGUUCAUUUGCGAGUCCAAGUUUGACAACCAACGAAAGCUGUUUACCAUUGAUUAUCGAGUUAAGAACGAGGACGAAGCAGCUGCAAAGAAAAGGAGAGAGAAUGCCACGAUGAACACCGAGUAAAGUACUAACUUCUCAAGCAAAGAAAGAAGAUGCUUCCUUUAUGUUCUUCCCAAGAUACAUCUGCAGCAGGUAUUGCUUUAUCUCUUGUACGUGCGUCUGCAGCACCUCAUCACUGCCGCCUUGCAAAGGAAAUGACGUGAUUGAUGAGGAUGUAGAUAUAGUUGGCGGGAAUGACGCUCCAGUUUCAUGCUUCCCUCCAGUAGAGAUAGAGAAAGAUGCGGUGCAUAGAAACAGUAAAUGCAGUAGUUCCAGUAGCUCCAGUACUGAAUCGGGGUCCUCAUCAAGUGAUGCAGACUCAGCUAGUUCAUCCGCUAGUGAAUUAGAUCCUGCUAAGGUUUCUGGACCUGUCAAGGUGGCGAAGGAAGGCAUGGCUAAUGGAGUAAGUGAUGACCAAAAAGAGUACUUUUCAUGACUUAGAUACUGCAUCUGUUGAUGGGAUGGAUCAAGUUGUGCAAAAUUCUCAGCCCAAUUCACUUCCCUUAGAAGCUGAUGUUCAGGGAGAGGAGGAGAGUACUCCACCUGAGAGGCAAGUCUCCCCUGAGAAGCGUUAUCGUGCAGCACUUUUGAGGAACCGAUUUGCUGAGACUAUAUUUAAAGCUUGAGAAAAGGCUCUUGAGAAGGUUGAGAAGCGGGAUCCUGAGAAGUUACGAAUAGAGAGAGAGGAACUUGAGAGGCGGGCAAAAGAAGAAAAGGCUAAAAUUCAAGCUGAGGCAAAGGCAGCAGAAGAGGCUAGAAAAAGCUGCAGCUGAAGCCAAGAGGCAGAGGGAGCUGGAGAGGGAACUUGCUCGUCAAGCAUUGCAAAAGAUGGAAAAGACAGUUGAUAUCAAUGAGAACAGUCAGUUUAUGGAGGACUUGGAGAUGCUUUGGGUUCCUCAUGGUGAGGAAUUACCAAACUUCUUGGAGGAGGCAAAGAGCCCAGACUGUUCAGAAGACCAUCUGGGUAGUUUCAAACUCCAGAAUUGUAGCAAUCCUUUAGAACAGCUUGGCUUGUACAUGAAGGUUGAUGACGAAGAUGAGGAUGAGGAGAGUGAGCCGCCCAAAAGUCAUCCGAUUCUGCCACCACCAAAUGACGUAGAGGACGGGGAAAUUGAUUGAUGAGAGAAUCUUUUUUUUCCCAUAUUCUGACACUAGGAACUUAAAUCCUUUUAAGAGGGACUGGAAAGGAGUUCCUUUAGGAGGAAUGAGACAAGUGGGGGAAAUCUCCUUCCUUCUUAGGUGACACCGCCUAAAUUGGAAGUGCCCAAUGGAUUGGGGGGAACACACUGCUCCAGCCUUUCUCAAAGAGGGUUGGGAACUUCCUUCUUUUGCUUUGAACAUUUGGCUACUGAGGUUGGUGUUAUCUUAUCUGUGGAUGGUCAGCGACGCAAAAUGUGGAUUUGGAAGGAGCGUGUACAUAUAGAUAUUUGGAGAUAUUGAUUCCGAUUCAUUGAAAUGGAGCAUAAGCGAAAGCAGUAGGCUUUUCUGAUGGACGCCGAGGAUAGACUGUUAUAAAGAAGGGCAAAAGAAAGACGGGAGGAUAAGUUAGAGAGAAGAGGCAGUCUUUCCUUGUAUAAAGGCUCCGGUUCUGUUUGCACGGCGUAAGUGGAAAGAUCAAAUUGUUUUCUUGCUCUGCCACACAGAAAAAAAAAAGAGAAAGAAAGGAAAAAGCAAAAACUCAUUCUUUUCCUUUGUUUGUGUAUGUUCCGAUCAUUCCUUCAUUCAAUCUGCUUUUUCAGAUGAA